rnacentral:rRNA from 1 species
GACGAACCGUGCGAACGUUGUUCGGAAUCACUGGGCUUAAAGGGCGCGUAGGCGGGCGACCAAGUCAGGGGUGAAAUCCCACGGCUCAACCGUGGAAGUGCCUUUGAUACUGGUGGUCUCGAGGGAGGUAGGGGCGUGCGGAACUUCCGGUGGAGCGGUGAAAUGCGUAGAUAUCGGAAGGAACGCCGGUGGCGAAAGCGGCGCGCUGGACCUCUUCUGACGCUGAGGCGCGAAAGCUAGGGGAGCAAACGGG